rnacentral:lncRNA from 1 species
UCGGACAGCUUCCCAGUACUGAUGCAAGAUUUUAUUGGAACCCAUAAUAGAGGAAUGUUAGCCUUUAAAUGUGCAGUAAGUUUAAUAUGCAUUAUGAAUAGCACUUAAAUUAAUGAAUUGCAUUGGGGUGUAUUGUCAUACAAAUUAUAAACAUUACUGAUUAAAAAUCGUGACGUGUGCUCUCAGCUUUUGAUGACAUUUACAACUUUAAAUAUGUUUUUUUAUAUUUAAUUGUAAAAAUUACAUUUGGUUACUUUAAUUUACCUUUGUUAAAUGCAUGCUCUCAAAUGUAAUAAAAACUGCUUGCUUGCAAACGUGUUUCAUUGUGACUCUCUUACAUAUAAGUCAUUCAAAGACACAAACUUGUGGCCCUUUAUAUUGAGAUAUUUUACAGGGCUUGGAUCUGUAUUAAAAUUUUAAACAUGUGAUAUUGAAAAAAGGCAAACUGUUCAAGAUCACUAUUUUAGACAAUUAUACGUAACAAAAUUUCAUGAAGCCAACCAAAUAAUGAUAUUUUAACACCAUGUGAGACCCUCAGUUCUUGUCGAUUAACACCCCGAGGUAAAACAAAGAAAAAUGCCGAACCGUUAAAGACUGUAACGGUUAAAUUUGUCCACACUGAGUUGCAACUUUAGUUUAAGUGCAUAUGUAUGAGUAUGUGUUUCUCCUUUGCAUUCUGUCGCUUUAUAUGAAGGCAGAAAAUGUUAUUGUUGAUUCUUGUAAAAAAAAAUAUACGCACGUUUACGGUACGUUUUAUAGUUAUAUACAUGCAGUGUUUUUUAUUUUUCAAUGAUCAUAAAUUAACAUAGUUAAUAUAGUAUCAUUAUUUUGUUUUCAGAUGAGAACUCUUCGAGAUGAUAUACACAAACAAAACUUUGCAGUCUAUCGGAGAACAUAUUUUAACUGAAAGCCUUGUAAUGACAAUAUAGCUAUAAAGUUAACCUAUUUUAGAACUUAAUUUUUAUGACACGUUUAAGUUGACACUUUUAAGUGUGUAAGUUUACUUACUAAUAACACUUCUACAAUUACAGUUGUAAUUCCUGCA